UUUUCAUUCGUGUGGGAAAGAGCUGGAGGCUGUGAUUCAUUCAUAAAAAUGUGCAUGUGCAACAACAUAAUUAGGCCAGGAAGAGGGCGUUAAGCUUUGAUUUAAAGUGAAGCUUCGAUAAAACGAAUCACUAAGGAUAACAAUAGUGAGCAAGAGAGAACUGCAAUAAUCAAGGAAUUGAACUGUAGCUGGAGCAGUGAACACAAGCAACGGCCGCCGGGGCAAUUUGUCUGGGUCGAAACUCUGGAAUCCUCCUCCUUCUGACAGAAACGCAGUGUCUGCGCCAAUUCCUGACCGAUGACUGCGAAACGCCCCCCAAAACUAAAAAUGGAAAAAGAAAGAGCCACGACGGUGACCACUCCGCCAUGGCGGGUGAAAGAGCUGCCUGGGAAACUGUAAUGGAAACCGGAAAUGGGGUGGAUGCCAAGCAGAUUGAAUCACUGGACAUGCCUGCAUGUGAUCCUAUGCUGCAGUCGAUUCGAGGGAAUUUUGAUUUGGCGAAAUUGCACUGGAAGCGGAAAUUAGUCGGAGUCAAAAGCGGCAAAACGGCGAAAGUCAUUUAUCAUUUUGGACAUUUUUCAAGCGGUGUGUGAAUAUUUUGCUUGGACAAUUGCUCGCAUGAUUUUACAGUUACGCAUUUAAUAAGAAUGGCUUGAUGAA